GCAGAACGCGAAGAACCUUACCUACCCUUGACAUCCUCAUAAUCCCGAUGAAAGUUGGGAGUGUCUUCGGACAGUGAGAGACAGGUGCUGCAUGGCUGUCGUCAGCUCGUGUUGUGAGAUGUUGGGUUAAGUCCCGUAACGAGCGCAACCCUUGUUUCUAGUUGCCAGCACGUAAAGGUGGGAACAUUAGAGAGACUGCCGGUGACAAACCGGAGGAAGGUGGGGACGACGUCAAGUCAUCAUGGCCUUUAUGGGUAGGGCAACACACGUACUACAAUGGUAUGCAACAGAGAGAAGCGAAACGGCGACGUGAAGCAAACCUUAGAAAACAUAUCGUAGUCCGGAUUGGAGUCUGCAACUCGACUCCAUGAAGACGGAAUCGCUAGUAAUCGCAGAUCAGAAUGCUGCGGUGAAUACGUUCCCGGGUCUUGUACACACCG
rnacentral:rRNA from 1 species